GGGAAGAGCUCAAAUUUUGAAUCUGGCGGUCUUUGGCCGUCCGAGUUGUAAUCUAGAGAAGCAUUUUCCGUGCUGGACCGUGUACAAGUCUCCUGGAAGGGAGCGUCAUAGAGGGUGAGAAUCCCGUCUUUGACACGGACCGCCAGCACUGUGUGAUGUGCUCUCGACGAGUCGAGUUGUUUGGGAAUGCAGCUCAAAUAGGGUGGUAAAUUCCAUCUAAAGCUAAAUACAGGCGAGAGACCGAUAGCGAACAAGUACCGUGAGGGAAAGAUGAAAAGAACUUUGGAAAGAGAGUUAAACAGUACGUGAAAUUGCUGAAAGGGAAACGCUUGACGUCAGUCACGUCCUCCAGGGAUCAACCUUGCUUGCUUUCGAGCUGGGCGCAUUUCCUGGCAGACGGGUCAGCAUCAGUUUUGGCCAUCGUACAAUGAUCGAGGGAAUGUGGCUCUCUUCGGAGUGUGUUAUAGCCUUCGAUCGUAUGCGGUGGUAAGGACUGAGGAACUCGGCACGACCUCCACUCUGGUCUGUGUCUAGGAUGCUGGCAUAAUGGCCUUAAGCGACCCGUCUUGAAACACGGACCAAGGAGUCUAACAUGCCUGCGAGUGUUUGGGUGGAAAACUCGAGCGCACAACGAAAAGUGAAAGUCGAGACCUCUGUCGUGGAGGGCAUCGACGCCCCGGACCUGAGUCUUUGACGACGGAAUCUGCGGGUAGAGCAUGCAUGUUUGGGACCCCGAAAAGAUGGUGAACCUAUGCCCUGAAUAGGGGUGAAAGCCAGAAGGAAAACUUCUGGGUGGAGGCCUCGUACCGAUUCUUGACGUUGCAAAUCGAAUCGGUCGAAAUUUGGGGUAUUAGGGGCCGAAAAGACUAA
rnacentral:rRNA from 1 species